AGAGUUUGAUCCUGGCUCAGGACGAACGCUGGCGGCGUGCUUAACACAUGCAAGUCGAACGAGACGAUUGAAAGCUUGCUUUUGAAAGUCGAGUGGCAAACGGGUGAGUAACGCGUAGACAACCUGCCGUAAAGAUGGGGACAACAGUCCGAAAGGACUGCUAAUACCGAAUGUUGUGGAACUUCCGCAUGGGGGCUCCACUAAAGAUGGCCUCUACUUGUAAGCUAUCGCUUUACGAUGGGUCUGCGUCUGAUUAGCUAGUUGGUGGGGUAACGGCUUACCAAGACGACGAUCAGUAGCCGGUCUGAGAGGAUGAACGGCCACAUUGGAACUGAGACACGGUCCAGACUCCUACGGGAGGCAGCAGUGGGGAAUCUUCCGCAAUGGGCGCAAGCCUGACGGAGCAACGCCGCGUGAGUGAAGAAGGGUUUCGACUCGUAAAGCUCUGUUGUCGGGGACGAAUGUCAGGACUCAAAAUAUGGGUUCUGAAUGACGGUACCUGACGAGGAAGCCACGGCUAACUACGUGCCAGCAGCCGCGGUAAUACGUNNUGGCGAGCGUUGUCCGGAAUUAUUGGGCGUAAAGGGAGCGCNNCGGGAGGUCANUCUAUUCUUAAAAGUGCGGGGCUCAACCCGUGAGGGNNGGAACUGGNCUUCUUG
rnacentral:rRNA from 1 species